AGCCCCUUGGCCCAGCUGGUUAAGGCGCACGACUGUUACGUAAGCCCCUAUUUCGUACUAUCGUGAGAUCGUGAGUUCGAGCCUCACAGGGGCAG